rnacentral:rRNA from 1 species
GAAACGACUGCUAAGACUGGAUAGGAGACAAGAAGGCAUCUUCUUGUUUUUAAAAGACCUAGCAAUAGGUAUGCUUAGGGAGGAGCUUGCGUCACAUUAGUUAGUUGGUGGGGUAAAGGCCUACCAAGACUAUGAUGUGUAGCCGGGCUGAGAGGUUGAACGGCCACAUUGGGACUGAGACACGGCCCAAACUCCUACGGGAGGCAGCAGUAGGGAAUUUUCGGCAAUGGAGGAAACUCUGACCGAGCAACGCCGCGUGAACGAUGAAGUAUUUCGGUACGUAAAGUUCUUUUAUUAGGGAAGAAUAAAUGAUGGAAAAAUCAUUCUGACGGUACCUAAUGAAUAAGCCCCGGCUAACUAUGUGCCAGCAGCCGCGGUAAUACAUAGGGGGCAAGCGUUAUCCGGAAUUAUUGGGCGUAAAGGGUGCGUAGGCGGUUAAAUAAGUUUAUGGUCUAAGUGCAAUGCUCAACAUUGUGAUGCUAUAAAAACUGUUUAGCUAGAGUAAGAUAGAGGCAAGUGGAAUUCCAUGUGUAGUGGUAAAAUGCGUAAAUAUAUGGAGGAACACCAGUAGCGAAGGCGGCUUGCUGGGUCUUUACUGACGCUGAGGCACGAAAGCGUGGGGAGCAAACAGGAUUAGAUACCCUGGUAGUCCACGCCGUAAACGAUGAGUACUAAACGUUGGGUAAAACCAGUGUUGAAGUUAACACAUUAAGUACUCCGCCUGAGUAGUACGUACGCAAGUAUGAAACUUAAAGGAAUUGACGGGACUCCGCACAAGCGGUGGAUCAUGUUGUUUAAUUCGAAGGUACCCGAAAAACCUCACCAGGUCUUGACAUGCUUCUGCAAAGCUGUAGAAACACCAGUGGAGGUUAUCAGUUGCACAGGUGGUGCAUGGUUGUCGUCAGCUCGUGUCGUGAGAUGUUGGGUUAAGUCCCGCAACGAGCGCAACCCUUAUUGUUAGUUACCAGCACGUAAUGGUGGGGACUUUAGCAAGACUGCCAGUGAUAAAUUGGAGGAAGGUGGGGACGACGUCAAAUCAUCAUGCCCCUUAUGACCUGGGCUACAAACGUGAUACAAUGGCUGUUACAAAGGGUGGCUGAAGCGCAAGUUUUUGGCGAAUCUCAAAAAAACAGUCUCAGUUCGGAUUGAAGUCUGCAACUCGACUUCAUGAAGUUGGAAUCGCUAGUAAUCGCGAAUCAGCAUGUCGCGGUGAAUACGUUCUCGGGGUUUGUACACACCGCCCGUCA